rnacentral:rRNA from 1 species
CAGCCGCCGCGGUAAUACGGAGGAUCCAAGCGUUAUCCGGAAUCAUUGGGUUUAAAGGGUCCGUAGGCGGUUUAGUAAGUCAGUGGUGAAAGCCCAUCGCUCAACGGUGGAACGGCCAUUGAUACUGCUAGACUUGAAUUAUUAGGAAGUAACUAGAAUAUGUAGUGUAGCGGUGAAAUGCUUAGAGAUUACAUGGAAUACCAAUUGCGAAGGCAGGUUACUACUAAUGGAUUGACGCUGAUGGACGAAAGCGUGGGUAGCGAACAGGAUUAGAUACCCUGGUAGUCCACGCCGUAAACGAUGGAUACUAGCUGUUGGGAGCGAUCUCAGUGGCUAAGCGAAAGUGAUAAGUAUCCCACCUGGGGAGUACGUUCGCAAGAAUGAAACUCAAAGGAAUUGACGG